UAGUCCACGCCCUAAACGAUGUAUACUCGAUGUUUGGAUUUAUUUCUGGGCAUCCAAGGGAAACCAUUAAGUAUACCACCUGGGGAGUACGUCGGCAACGAUGAAACUCAAAGGAAUUGGCGAGGGUCCGCACAAGCGGUGGAGCAUGUGGUUUAAUUCGAUGAUACGCGAGGAACCUUACCUAGGCUCGAACGCUACUGGACAGGAUUUGAAAGGAUUUUUCCCUUCGGGGUCAGUAGUGAGGUGCUGCAUGGUUGUCGUCAGCUCGUGUCGUGAGAUGUUGGGUUAAGUCCCGCAACGAGCGAAACCCUCAUUCUCAUUUGCCAGCGGUUCGGCCGGGAACUAUGAGAAAACUGCCGGUGAUAAGCCGGAGGAAGGUGGGGAUAAUGUCAGGUCAUCAUGGCCCUUAUGGGUUGGGCUACACGCGUGCUACAAUGGUAUCUACAGAGGGAUGCAAUAUGGCAACAUGGAGCAAAUCCUCAAAGGAUAUCUUAGUUCGGAUUGGUCU
rnacentral:rRNA from 1 species